rnacentral:rRNA from 1 species
UACGUAGGGUGCAAGCGUUAAUCGGAAUUACUGGGCGUAAAGCGUGCGCAGGCGGUUGUGCAAGACCGAUGUGAAAUCCCCGGGCUCAACCUGGGAAUGGCAUUGGUGACUGUACGGCUAGAGUGUGUCAGAGGGGGGUAGAAUUCCACGUGGUAGCAGUGAAAUGCGUAGAGAUGUGGAGGAAUACCGAUGGCGAGGCAGCCCCCUGGGAUAACACUGACGCCUCAUGCACGAAAGCGUGGGGAGCAAACAGG